rnacentral:rRNA from 1 species
CGGGAAAAGCUCAAAUUUAAAAUCUGGCGGUUCCACCGUCCGAGUUGUAAUUUAGAGAAGUGUUACCCGCGCUGGACCGUGUACAAGUCUCUUGGAAUAGAGCGUCAUAGAGGGUGAGAAUCCCGUCUUUGACACGGACUACCAGGGCAUUGUGGUGCGCUCUC